rnacentral:rRNA from 1 species
UGGGGAAUAUUGGGCAAUGGGCGCAAGCCUGACCCAGCAACGCCGCGUGAGGGAAGAAGGUUUUCGGAUUGUAAACCUCUGUCGCAAGGGACGAAGAAGUGACGGUACCUUGUGAGGAAGCCCCGGCUAACUACGUGCCAGCAGCCGCGGUAAUACGUAGGGGGCGAGCGUUGUCCGGAAUUACUGGGCGUAAAGGGUGCGUAGGCGGCACUAUAAGUUGGAUGUGAAAUACCCGGGCUUAACUUGGGGGGUGCAUUCAAGACUGUAGAGCUAGAGUACUGGAGAGGGAAGCGGAAUUCCUAGUGUAGCGGUGAAAUGCGUAGAUAUUAGGAGGAACACCGGUGGCGAAGGCGGCUUUCUGGACAGACACUGACGCUGAGGCACGAAAGCGUGGGGAGCAAACA